GGAGUAAGUGCAUAUGAGAGCAUGAGGGUGGGAAUGGAUGUUUGUGUCUGUGUGUGCCUGUAUGUCUGUGUCUAUAUGUCAGGCUGGGUACCAGACGCCACCUCUCUGGGGACACCUCAGGCCCUCCAAGGUUUGGAGGCCUAUCUCCACCUACCACCACUUCCCCUGCCGGUGGCGGACUCCCUCAGGUGUCGGUGCGUUGGUGGUUCUUUGUGUCUGGGGGUGGGCGUCCAGGUACACACCGGCUCACUCCUUGGCGGCCGCUUAUCGGGGCCUGGAGCCUGGGGCUCGCUCGGGCCCCUUCGGGGGUGGGGUGCCCCCGGCCUCUCGGCCUGGGGCUCGGUCACUCAGGCACAGCUGGCGGCCGGCGGAGCUCACGGGCGCGUCACUGCAACUCCCCCUGGCUUCUGCUCCGCGGCUGCUGAGUGAGCCCUCAUCUGGGACUCUCCUCAGCUCUUACUGGAACAGUGGCGCGGCUGCCCCUCUGUUGGUCUUCCUUGGUCUCUUGUGUUCUGGGGGCCUCUGGAUGUCUGGAGUUUUGAUCUCCUCCAUACCUGCUUCACACCCUGGAGGACGGGGCUGUGGCCCCCCCACACUCCCUAGCAGAUCGUUACAUGGAGAAACCUUUGGAAUACAAGCGCGCUGAUCCACACAGGUAUGCACACGGGUGUUCACUGCUCGUAGACCCAAAUUACACCUUUCUUGGCUGCUACUUCGAAGCACAUCUGUCCUGCGUGCUGCACAACAACAUUGAAUAUUUAGUAUUUACUGCUGUUUACACUUAGCUAGAUUAAUGCGAUGGUGUUGUGUUUAGUAUGUUGCUUUGUUUUUGGUUUUUUUGUCUUUUUUUUUGCUUGUUUUCUAUUCUUCUCUCAACAGGUGAUCCAGGAGAUUUUUAUUUAUUUUUUCUCCCCCCCUUUCUCACUGUCCCUCUCCCCUUCUGUUUUUCCUUUCCUUCCUCUUUCUUUCUCCCUUUCCUAUCUCUCACUCAUGUCUGUCCCGUCGGUAACAUCUGAAAAUAAAAUAUAAUAAAUAAUAAAAACAAAGAUCGACCAAAUGGACCAAUACGGCAAUGCCACGAUGAUCCAUUUGGCAAAGUAAAUCCACUGGGCAUCCUUGUUGGUCUUCAGACAACAAUUCUGAUGGCUAAAGAACCAAAUGGGACAGGCGAAAAAAAAAAAAAAAUAAUAAUAAUAAUCGACAUAAUCAACCUUAAUUGGAUGCAGUGUGGAAAAAAUUGCAC
ensembl:lncRNA